GAGAUUAAUAAAAUUGAGGAAGGUGCUGAUGGCUAUACGUAAAAGAACUAUCUGGCAUGUUUGAGGAUUGAAAAAAUCGUUGGCAUAAAUGUAUUUUAACGGGAGGCGAUUACUUAAGGGUGGUGAAAUUGAUUUAGAAGAAUAAAUUAAGAUUUUCCAUUUUACAAACAACAGACUUUUUUUGCGUGUAGAACCCUACCACCAGCUCACAGCCCACAAGCAACGAGCACUUAGUCCUCCACGGUCUCCGUUUCCGAUAUUGACCCGUUGUGAGCUUCUACAGCGCUAAAUACAGUUACAACACCAAUUCGCGGUACUCUAAUGAGCUAAGGAAAUACUAGAAAAAAUACCACAUUUAGCAGCCCAAAGAAUAAGAAAUUUAAUCUUUGGCAGUGUUCGUGCAAAAGCGGUAAAGAAAGAAACCGAACCACCAGUAACACGAUCUCCGACGAGCUCGCUAUUGGGGAAACACAGGACUUAACCACCAUCAGCUAGCUACUUGGCAGCUAAAGCGGAUAUGGAGAACGCGCUGGCUUCUACAGGAUGGACGAAAAAAGGACGCCCGCUAGGGUUGGGAAGAGCCAUUACCAGCCAUUGCCAGGAUGCACGGGAACGACCCCGUUCCCAAUUUGGCUCCUACUUCCUUAAGGUCCACUAUGCCUAUUGGGACUUGGAGCUGGACUGCAUAAGGCGCGGGAAAGAUAUCGAAGCAUCCGUGGAACGAGCAAGAAGCUAAACUACUUCUUUACAUAAGAAAAAACAUUCGUUAAGCAUUCCAUUUAUGUUAAUUUAAAUUUCAUUGUUGUGCACCAGCAGACUCUUAUUUUUUAAAUUGCUCCAAUUUAUUUGUUUUCCGUUUGUUAACAAAACCAGCUGCUUGACAGUAAGAUCAUGUUACGUGCAUUGCGGGUGAACUUUAAAACUUCGAUCACACCACACAGAAUACGAUUUUUCGA